AGCGUAGGCGGACAUUUAAGUCAGGGGUGAAAUCCCAGAGCUCAACUCUGGAACUGCCUUUGAUACUGGGUAUCUUGAGUAUGGAAGAGGUAAGUGGAAUUCCGAGUAUAGAGGUGAAAUUCGUAGAUAUUCGGAGGAACACCAGUGGCGAAGGCGGCUUACUGGUCCAUUACUGACGCUGAGGUGCGAAAGCGGUGGGGAGCAAACA
rnacentral:rRNA from 1 species